rnacentral:rRNA from 1 species
CAUGUGGUUUAAUUCGAUGAUACGCGAGGAACCUUACCUGGGCUCGAACGUAAGAUGACUGUAGGUGAAAGCUUACAUCUCUUCGGAGCAUUUUACGAGGUGCUGCAUGGUUGUCGUCAGCUCGUGCCGUGAGGUGUCGGGUUAAGUCCCAUAACGAGCGCAACCCCUACCUUUAGUUGCCAUCAGGUUAAGCUGGGGACUCUAAAGGAACUGCCUACGCAAGUAGUGAGGAAGGCGGGGAUGACGUCAAAUCAGCACGGCCCUUACGUCCAGGGCUACACACGUGCUACAAUGGCCGAUACAGAGGGCAGCUACCUGGUGACAGGAUGCAAAUCUCCAAAGUCGGUCUCAGUUCGGAUCGGAGUCUGCAACCCGACUCCGUGAAGUUGGAUUCGCUAGUAAUCGCGCAUCAGCCAUGGCGCGGUGAAUACGUUCCCGGGCCUU